ACGCUGGCGGCGUGCCUAACACAUGCAAGUCGAACGGUAACAGGUCCUUCGGGACGCUGACGAGUGGCGCACGGGUGAGUAACGCGUGGAUAUCUGCCUAUUAGUGGGGGACAACUACGGGAAACCGUAGCUAAUACCGCAUAAGCUCUACGGAGGAAAGCAGGGGACCCCUCGGGGCCUUGCGCUGAUAGAUGAGUCCGCGUCUGAUUAGCUGGUUGGUAAGGUAAUGGCUUACCAAGGCGAUGAUCAGUAACUGGUUUGAGAGGAUGAUCAGUCACACUGGAACUGAGACACGGUCCAGACUCCUACGGGAGGCAGCAGUGGGGAAUAUUGCACAAUGGGCGAAAGCCUGAUGCAGCGACGCCGCGUGCGGGAAGAAGGCCUUCGGGUUGUAAACCGCUUUCAAUUGGGAAGAAGAGAUGAGGGCUAAUAUCCCUCUGAUUUGACGGUACCUUUAGAAGAAGCACCGGCUAAUUUCGUGCCAGCAGCCGCGGUAAUACGAAAGGUGCAAGCGUUGUUCGGAUUUACUGGGCGUAAAGAGAUCGUAGGUGGCUUGUUAAGUCGGAUGUGAAAUCCCGGGGCUCAACCCCGGAACUGCAUUCGAUACUGGCAGGCUAGAGUUUGGGAGGGGUAAGCGGAAUUCCGUGUGUAGCAGUGAAAUGCGUAGAUAUACGGAGGAACACCUGAGGCGAAGGCGGCUUACUGGGACCAAUACUGACACUGAGGAUCGAAAGCGUGGGUAGCAAACASGAUUAGAUACCCUGGUAGUCCACGCCCUAAACGAUGUCAACUAGCCGUUGCGGGUAUCGACCCCUGCAGUGGCGAAGCUAACGCGAUAAGUUGACCGCCUGGGGAGUACGGU
rnacentral:rRNA from 1 species